GAAGAGGGACAUUCUUCAAAGGAAGAAUGGAAUAAGAGGGAUUGGCUUUGAAAAAUCUCUUGUUCUGAUGCCUGACUUAGCCAGCAAGCACCAUCUGAUAGGAACAUCUCUUUGUACCUUGUAAUUUUUUGUUGAAAGCUGGACAUGAUGUAGUAGGUAAAAGUAACUGAGGAUGUGGAGAGAAUUCCUUGCCCAUCAAGCUUUACAUAUACAUGAAAAUAAGAAAGAGAAUUCUAGUUAUUCCUCCUUGUUCUUUCAAUAAUGUACUUAGAAGCAGGUUGAGCUCACUCAUUGAUACUUCAGAGCUGGUUUCGUGAUGGGGUUGCAGUUUCCUGUUGUUCUGUGAUGUGAUUUCAGAGUUUUUAAAACCCAAGGGAUCAUGGGAGAUGCAGCUUGGUCUGUAAGCUCCUGAGAACAGAGGCCAUUUGUAUUUAUCUUUGGACCCCUGACAAGUGACUGACACAUGGCAGAU